rnacentral:rRNA from 1 species
AGUGAACGCUGGCGGUAGGCCUAACACAUGCAAGUCGAACGGCAGCACAGAGGAGCUUGCUCCUUGGGUGGCGAGUGGCGGACGGGUGAGGAGUACAUCGGAAUCUACUCUGUCGUGGGGGAUAACGUAGGGAAACUUACGCUAAUACCGCAUACGACCUACGGGUGAAAGCAGGGGAUCUUCGGACCUUGCGCGAUUGAAUGAGCCGAUGUCGGAUUAGCUAGUUGGCGGGGUAAAGGCCCACCAAGGCGACGAUCCGUAGCUGGUCUGAGAGGAUAAUCAGCUACACGGGCACUGAGACACGGUCCAGACUCCUACGGGACGCAGCAGGGGGGAAUAUUGGACAAUGGGCGCAAGCCUGAGCCAGCCAUACCGCGUGGGUGAAGAGGGCCUUCGGGUUGUAAAGCCCUUUUGUUGGGAAAGAAAUCCAUCUGGUUAAUACCCGGGUGGGAUGACGGUACCCAAAGAAUAAGCACCGGCUAACUUCGUGCCAGCAGCAGCGGUAA